rnacentral:rRNA from 1 species
AGAUUGAACGCUGGCGGCAUGCCUUACACAUGCAAGUCGAACGGCAGCACGGGAGCAAUCCUGGUGGCGAGUGGCGAACGGGUGAGUAAUAUAUCGGAACGUGCCCAGUCGUGGGGGAUAACGUAGAGAAAUUUACGCUAAUACCGCAUACGAUCCAAGGAUGAAAGCGGGGGACCGUAAGGCCUCGCGCGACUGGAGCGGCUGAUAUCAGAUUAGCUUGUUGGUGAGGUAAAAGCUCACCAAGGCGACGAUCUGUAGCUGGUUUGAGAGAACGACCAGCCACACUGGGACUGAGACACGGCCCAGACUCCUACGGGAGCAGCAGUGGGAAUUUUGGACAAUGGGCGAAAGCCUGAUCCAGCAAUGCCGCGUGCAGGAAGAAGGCCUUCGGUUGUAAACUGUCUUUUGUACGGAACGAAAAGUACUUCUUUACUAAUAAAGAAGGAAUCAUAGACGGUAACCGUAAAGAAGUAAGACACCGGACUAAACGUACGUUGCCAAGCAGCCGA